GCCAACCGCUAAAAAAGAAGCUGUUGUUUGCCGUGUCGGUAAGUAAAAAAAAAAAAAUCUUUGGUCUUUACCAAACGUUGACAACUUUAAGAACGUGUGCGUCAUUUGUGUGCAUGUGCAUAAACAACACAUUCUACACAUUUUCAGUCCAAGCCUGAUGCAGGGCAGUUCUCCCGGGUUAAGGGGUCCCUGCUGCAGUUUCACCAGUAAAGGAAAUUACUUGUUACAGUUCACUUGAAGGACCACAUAAGCCAUGCAGUGGUGCAUGGAGGAGCGCCAAGAGGACAUAAAGUGGAAGUUUGUAAGGGACAUUGGUCCAGCGUGGUACAGAGUCAUCGUGGGUUAUUCUGUGGGGAGGUGACAGG
ensembl:lncRNA